GACGUAGGGGGCAAGCGUUGUCCGGAAUCAUUGGGCGUAAAGCGCUCGUAGGUGGAUCGGUAAGUCUGCAAAGAAAGACCCGGGCUCAACUCGGGGAACGGUGUGGAUACUACCGAUCUUGAGGCAAUCAGAGGAUGAUGGAAUUCCCGGUGUAGCGGUGAAAUGCGUAGAUAUCGGAAGGAACACCUGUGGCGAAAGCGGCUCACUGGACCAUAACUGACGCUGAGGCACGAAGGCUAGGGGAGCAAACAGG
rnacentral:rRNA from 1 species